UCACUUCCAACAACGGAUCUCUUGGCUUUCGCAUCGAUGAAGAACGUAGCGAAGUGCGAUAAGUAAUGUGAAUUGCAGUAUUCCGUGAAUCAUCGAACCUUUGAACGCAUAUUGCACUUUCUGGUAUUCCGGAAAGUAUGCCUGUUUGAGGGUCAGUU
rnacentral:rRNA from 1 species